UGGGGAAUUUUGGACAAUGGGGGCAACCCUGAUCCAGCCAUUCCGCGUGAGUGAAGAAGGCCUUCGGGUUGUAAAGCUCUUUCGGCAGGAACGAAACGGCGAGCUCUAACAUAGCUUGCUAAUGACGGUACCUGAAGAAGAAGCACCGGCUAACUACGUGCCAGCAGCCGCGGUAAUACGUAGGGUGCGAGCGUUAAUCGGAAUUACUGGGCGUAAAGCGUGCGCAGGCGGUUAUAUAAGACAGAUGUGAAAUCCCCGGGCUCAACCUGGGAACUGCAUUUGUGACUGUAUAGUUAGAGUACGGCAGAGGGGGAUGGAAUUCCGCGUGUAGCAGUGAAAUGCGUAGAUAUGCGGAGGAACACCGAUGGCGAAGGCAAUCCCCUGGACCUGUACUGACGCUCAUGCACGAAAGCGUGGGGAGCAAACA
rnacentral:rRNA from 1 species